rnacentral:rRNA from 1 species
AGAUUGAACGCUGGCGGCAGGCCUAACACAUGCAAGUCGAGCGGUAGAGAGGUGCUUGCAUCUCUUGAGAGCGGCGGACGGGUGAGUAAUGCCUAGGAAUCUGCCUAGUGGUGGGGGAUAACGUUCGGAAACGGACGCUAAUACCGCAUACGUCCUACGGGAGAAAGCGGGGGACCUUCGGGCCUCGCGCCAUUAGAUGAGCCUAGGUCGGAUUAGCUAGUUGGUGAGGUAAUGGCUCACCAAGGCGACGAUCCGUAACUGGUCUGAGAGGAUGAUCAGUCACACUGGAACUGAGACACGGUCCAGACUCUACGGGAGCAGCAGUGGGGAAUAGUUGGACAAGUGGGACGAAAGCCUGAUCCGAGCCCA